rnacentral:rRNA from 1 species
AACUGGGAUUAGAUACCCCACUAUGCCUAGCCAUAAAAAAACAACCAAACAACCAGUUGUUCGCCAAAUAACUACGAGUGAAAACUUAAAACUUAAAAGACUUGACGGUACUUCACACCAACCUAGAGGAGCCUGUCUAAUAACCGAUAAUCCACGAUAAACCCAACCCAACCUAGCCAACAAUCCAGUCUAUAUACCGCCGUCGCCAGCCUACCUUGUGAAAGAAAAAGAGUAAGCACAACAGCACACACUAAUACGACAGGUCGAGGUGUAACUCAUGGUUGGGAAAAAGAU